GACGAACGCUGGCGGCGUGCUUAACACAUGCAAGUCGAACGGAAAGGCCCUGCUCUUGUGGGGUGCUCGAGUGGCAAAGGGGUGAGUAACACGUGAGUAACCUGCCCUUGUCUUUGGGAUAACUUCAGGAAACUGGGGCUAAUACCGGAUAGGAGCUCCUGCAGCAUGGGGGGGGUUGGAAAGUUUCGGCGGUUGGGGAUGGACUCGCGGCUUAUCAGCUUGUUGGUGAGGUAGUGGUUUACCAAGGCUUCGACGGGUAGCCGGCCUUGGAGGGUGACCGGGCACAUGGCGCCUGCGGGACGCAGCAGUCGGGUAUGUGCGGCAACAGGCGAGAGCCUUGCACAGUGACGGGGAGUCAGAGACGGCAGCCUUCGGUGCGGGGAGACCGCUUUUUGGGUAAGAACCGCUUUCGCCGUAGCCGUAGAAUGCGUGACGGUAAUGGAUAAAGAAGCACCGGCUAACUACGUG
rnacentral:rRNA from 1 species